GCCUCAAACUUGUGCUCAUUUUGCCUCAAUUAUGUCAAAGACAAUGUUUUAUAAAGCACACUCAUCAAACUUGUGCUAAGUAUGAAGAUUCUUGAAUCUAUGUAUCUCUCUCUAUCUAUAUCCUUCCUAAGCCUAUCAAGUCUUAUUGUGAGAGUUAUAUAUUUCAUGUCUUGCAAUUUUGCAAGGUUUACUCUGCAUUUGAACCUCCCUUUGUGAAUGGAUUGAAUGAGUGCUUGAACUAACUGUUUAUCUUUGCUAGUAUUAUCUCAAAUUUCACUCACACACUCACAAGUUUAUUGCUUUGUUUGUGUCGUUCAUCUCUUGAAAAAGUUUAUGAACUUUGACCUAAUUUGUGAUUGAUUAUCUAUCUUUCUCAUAGCUUAUUCUUUCACUUAGUGGACUUGUGUUUCUAGGCUAUAUUUUGUUUUGUUUUCUUUUAAAAUUUCAAAAUGCCCUAUUUUUGUAGGUCUCGUGACCUAGUCGCGACCCUAGGCGACUUUGGCCCAGGUCGUGAGCAAAUUAAAUCUUUGCUCAAUUUUUACCCUGAGAUUUUGUGACAAGGUAAGGCCUAGCUAAGUCACAACUGGGCAUGAAGUCAGUUUUUAAUGUUUUAAACCGUUUUGUAUUUCAAACGUUUUCACUUCCCACCACUUCGGGUUUCUCCCCACACCUCUAAAACUCAUUUUUCUCAUAAACCCACUUCUCUCUUCUCUCCAAAAACAUCUCAAGUAAGUUUUUGCAACUCUAAUCUCUUUAUUUGGUGUUUGUGUUUUUGGAUUGGGUGUGUGUGUUUGUGUGGGUGUGAUUGUUUUUUUUUUUUUUUUUUUUUUUUUUUAUCUUGAACCUUCUAUCUUUUUUCUUCGUGUUGAUCAUAUGCUUCUUGUGUUGGUCUUUUAUGACAUUUUGUGCUUGUAAUUAGGCCUGUAUUUGUUGGGUUCCCUUUUUGCCUGUUGUGUUGUUGUGUUUGUGCACAUCAAGUGUUUGAUGAAAUUCUCAAGUGAGUAUUUUCAUCAGUUUGUUGUUCCGUUGGACAUCAAAUCUCUAUAUGAGACUUGGUUAUGAUAGUUUGUUUUACCAUCGUUGGGUUGAUCGAUUUCUAAAAUUGCAUCCUGUGCCUAUGCCUCUAAUGCCUUAAGGGUGGUUAUAGCAUCUGUUUUGUUCUAACAUCAUAUGCCAUGUUCUUGUGUUUUUUGCUAUUGUGGCAUUUGUUUUGCAGUUGCACCAAAAGCCUUAUCCUCUCGUGGAGGAAAGCAUAAAAUGCCUAACUCAUUAUACACUUAACAAAGUGAAGCACUAAUUGAUCCAACUGAUCUAAGCCCCAUAUUCGAUCAGAUUCAAUUAUGUGAUGCUCUAGGCCUUGAAAUUAUGCAUCUUGAAGAUCGUUAUGCGAACCUUGUCAUGGAAAAGAAAGUGGAAUGAAGAUUUUUCCAAGGAUCUCCCAUCUUUAACAUGUUCAACCAAAAGGAAUGGGACUCCAUUCUUGUUGAUCUGGUGUGUCCAAUAGAAGAAUUAGGCCUUGACUUUUAUGUUAAUCUCUGUCGUUAGGACAACUCUCUCAGUACUUUCAUCAAGGGUUCCUACUACAUCAUCACCCCACAAAUCAUCUUUGAGGUGUUUGAAUUACCGGAGUACACAAGGAUCGAGAACACACCAUAUUCUUCUCGGAGCUUGGGAGAUCUUCACUCCAUCUGCCAAGCUUUAGGUGGAGAGCUUUACCUCGGAACCAUAUCGAUGUCCAUGGAGAAACUUCUUCCAAUAUACCGUGUGGUGUCAAUAUUGUCAAAUUUGUAUCCUCACAUGUUCAAUCGAACCUUGAUCACCGUUAAAUUCACUUUCUACAUGACCUGGUUCGAGGGGUUCUGAUUGAUUUAAGUUGGCACAUCUUUAAUGUGUGGUGGAGUAUGGCUAAAAAAGAAUCCAUCAGCAUUAAUACACUCAAUGCUCUUUAUGUGGAAGCAAGAGAUGCACGUAGGGACUCAGAUCCUUCCACCUCACUCAAGGCAUAUACUCUGACAUUUCACUUAGUGAAUAUGCAAACCAUGUUUAUGGAACUGUCUCAGCAAAUGGCAAUAGGAUUUGGGCUUGUGUACGAUUUUCUAGAUAUCACCUCUUCUCGUCUCAAUCAUGUGGAAGCUCGCAUGCCUCCUCUACCUUUGCCACCUACGGAGGACUAGUGAAAUCGUUUUUUGAGGACCCCCUUUGGAUAUUCUGACAAAAAGGGGGGAGAGCAUAGACUAACCUCACACAUAUAAAGGGAUAGCUCAAAGCAAGGGGAGCAAAAUUGCAUGAGCAAGGAGGAAUACUACAUCAACAAACUAACCAUCUAUUUUUUAAGUUUUUUUAGUUAUUUUCCUGCUUUUAGUAUAACUUUGAUACAUUAACAAACUAACUAUCCAUUUUUUAAGUUUUUUUAAGGAGGAAUAAUAUGUCUUUUGGUUUUGUACAGCAUGACCGUGUUUAGGUCAUGUACUUUUCUAGUGCUCUGGAUUUAUGUUGCUUUAUC